AUUGAACGCUGGCGGCAGGCCUAACACAUGCACGUCGAGCGAGCGGCGGACGGGUGAGUAAUGUAUGGGGACUGCCCGAUAGAGGGGGAUAACUACUGGAAACGGUAGCUAAUAUCGCAUCCUAUCGGAUACCGCAUAUGGGAUUAGCUAGUAGGUGAGGUAAUGGCUCACCUAGGCGAAGAUCCCUAGCUGGUCUGAGAGGAUGAUCAGCCACACUAGUACUGAGACACGGCCCAGACUCCUACGGAGGCAGCAGUGGGGAAUAUUGCACAAUGGGCGCAAGCCUGAUGCAGCCAUGCCGCGUGUAUGAAGAAGGCCCUAGGGUUGUAAAGUACUUUCAGUCGGGAGGCGUUACCAACAGAAGAAGCCACGGCUAACGCCGUGCCAGCAGCCGCGGUAAUAC
rnacentral:rRNA from 1 species